GCGGGGUGAUUCAGUGGUAGAAUUCUUCCUUGCAUACAGGAGACCCAGGUUCGAUUCCUGGCCCCUGCA
rnacentral:tRNA from 1 species